CAGCAUGUUUCCAAGGGUUGUGGUUGGCUGCAGCCAUGGGAUCUCCAAUUGCAUGCGAGAGCAAUGUGGAGAGACUCUGACAGCUCAGGUCAGUAUAGUAUCUACGCUGUCACUCACCUUUCCUAUAAUA
ensembl:snoRNA small nucleolar RNA SNORA44